GGAGAGAUGGCCGAGCGGUCGAAGGCGCACGCUUGGAAAGCGUGUGUAGGGCAACCUACCGUGGGUUCGAAUCCCACUCUCUCCGCCA
rnacentral:tRNA from 2 species